UACAGAGGCUGCAAGCGUUAUUCGGAUUCACUGGGCGUAAAGGGUGCGCAGGCGGCCAAGUGUGUCAGAUGUGAAAUCCCGAGGCUCAACCUCGGAACUGCGUCUGAAACUAUUCGGCUAGAGUAUUGGAGAGGGUAACGGAAUUCACGGUGUAGCAGUGAAAUGCGUAGAUAUCGUGAGGAACACCAGAGGCGAAGGCGGUUACCUGGACAAUUACUGACGCUCAGGCACGAAAGCGUGGGGAGCAAACAGG
rnacentral:rRNA from 1 species